UUUAAUUAUCAUAUAUAAAAGUGUAAUACAAGAUAUAAAUUAAUUUUAGUUGGGGCAACUGGGAGGGAUAAAAAUCUUUUAUUAAAUCAUUUAUAAUAAUAUUUAUAUUUAUGAUCCAAAUUAGUUAAUUUUGAACUUAGAAU
rnacentral:rRNA from 1 species